GGCGCUAUAGUGUAGUGGCUAUCACAACGGAUUCUGACUUUCCCCUUGGCAAAUAACAUUUUCCGUUAACCCAGGUUCGAACCCUGGUAGCGCCU